rnacentral:rRNA from 1 species
CGAAUGGGUGCGUAACACGUAGGUGACCUGCCCGGAAUGGGGAAUAACAGUUCGAAAGGACUGCUAAUACCGCAUACGGUCAACGGCUCCAGACGGCCGGGGACCAAAGGUGAUCGCAAGAUUGCCGCUUUCGGAGGGGCCUGCGGCCCAUCAGCUAGUUGGUAGGGUAAUGGCCUACCAAGGCGACGACGGGUAGGGGACCUGAGAGGGUGACCCCCCACACUGGCACUGACACACGGGCCAG